CACUAUGACCAUACCAUCCUGAAUAUACCUGAUCUCUUCUGAUCUCAGAAACUGAGCAGGGUUGGACCUGGCUAGUACUUGGAUGGGAGAAAUACACAUACAGAUACAGAUGAAGACACAGAUA
ensembl:rRNA 5S_rRNA 5S ribosomal RNA